rnacentral:rRNA from 1 species
AUUGAACGCUGGCGGCAGGCCUAACACAUGCAAGUCGAGCGAGCGGCGGACGGGUGAGUAAUGCCUAGGAAUCUGCCUGGUAGUGGGGGAUAACUGUCCGAAAGGACAGCUAAUACCGCAUAUUAUUCGAGCGGCCGCUGUCUGAUUAGCUGUUUGGCGGGGUAAAGGCCCACCAAGGCGACGAUCAGUAGCGGGUCUGAGAGGAUGAUCCGCCACACUGGGACUGAGACACGGCCCAGACUCCUACGGGAGGCAGCAGUGGGGAAUUUUGCGCAAUGGGGGCAACCCUGACGCAGCCAUGCCGCGUGAAUGAAGAAGGCCUUCGGGUUGUAAAGUUCUUUCGGUGACGAGGCGUUAAUCACAGAAGAAGCACCGGCUAACUCCGUGCCAGCAGCCGCGGUAAUUC